rnacentral:tRNA from 1 species
GCCCCCGUAGCUUAACGGAUAAAGCACUGGUCUUCGGAACCAGGGAUGAGAGUUCAAUUCUUUCCGGGGGUACAA